rnacentral:tRNA from 1 species
GCCCCCGUAGCUCAAAAGGACAGAGCGAGGCACUCCUAACGCCGAGGUUGUGGGUUCGACUCCCGCCGGGGGCACCA